UACGAAGGACCCAAGCGUUAUCCGGAUUUAUUGGGUUUAAAGGGUGCGUAGGCGGGUUAUUAAGUCAGUGGUGAAAGCCUGCAGCUUAACUGCAGAACUGCCAUUGAUACUGAUGAUCUUGAGUAUGAUUGAGGUGGGCGGAAUGUGUCAUGUAGCGGUGAAAUGCUUAGAUAUGACACAGAACACCGAUUGCGAAGGCAGCUCACUAAGCCAUAACUGACGCUGAUGCACGAAAAGCGUGGGGGAGCAAACAGG
rnacentral:rRNA from 1 species